rnacentral:misc_RNA from 1 species
GAUGAAGAACGUAGCGAAAUGCGAUAAGUAGUGUGAAUUGCAGAAUUCAGUGAAUCAUCGAGUCUUUGAACGCACAUUGCGCCCCCUGGUAUUCCGGGGGGCAUGCCUGUCCGAGCGUCAUUGCUACCCUCAAGCACGGCUUGUGUGUUGGGCCCCCGUCCCCCCCUCCCGGGGGACGGGCCCGAAAGGCAGCGGCGGCACCGCGUCCGGUCCUCGAGCGUAUGGGGCUUUGUCACCCGCUCUGUAGGCCCGGCCGGCGCCUGCCGACCACCAUCAAUCUUUUUUCAGGUUGACCUCGGAUCAGGUAGGGAUACCCGCUGAACUUAAGCAUAUCAAUAAGCGGAGGA